rnacentral:rRNA from 1 species
UACGUAGGGUGCGAGCGUUGUCCGGAAUUAUUGGGCGUAAAGAGCUCGUAGGCGGCCUGUCGCGUCGGAUGUGAAAGCCCGGGGCUUAACCCCGGGUCUGCAUUCGAUACGGGCAGGCUAGAGUGUGGUAGGGGAGAUCGGAAUUCCUGGUGUAGCGGUGAAAUGCGCAGAUAUCAGGAGGAACACCGGUGGCGAAGGCGGGUCUCUGGGCCAUAACUGACGCUGAGGAGCGAAAGCGUGGGGAGCGAACAGG